GAUGAACGCUGGCGGCGUGCUUAACACAUGCAAGUCGAACGAUGAAGCCCAGCUUGCUGGCUGGAUUAGUGGCGAACGGGUGAGUAACACGUGAGUAACCUGCCCUUAACUCUGGGAUAAGCCUGGGAAACUGGGUCUAAUACCGGAUAGGAGCGUCCACCGCAUGGUGGGUGUUGGAAAGAUUUAUCGGUUUUGGAUGGACUCGCGGCCUAUCAGCUUGUUGGUGAGGUAAUGGCUCACCAAGGCGACGACGGGUAGCCGGCCUGAGAGGGUGACCGGCCACACUGGGACUGAGAGACGGCCCAGACUCCUACGGGAGGCAGCAGUGGGGAAUAUUGCACAAUGGGCGCAAGCCUGAUGCAGCGACGCCGCGUGAGGGAUGACGGCCUUCGGGUUGUAAACCUCUUUCAGUAGGGAAGAAGCGAAAGUGACGGUACCUGAAGAAGAAGCACCGGCUAACUACGUG
rnacentral:rRNA from 1 species